rnacentral:misc_RNA from 1 species
AAAUGCGAUAAGUAAUGUGAAUUGCAGAGUUCAGUGAAUCAUCGAAUCUUUGAACGCACCUUGCGCUCCUUGGUAUUCCUUGGAGCAUGCCUGUUUGAGUAUCAUGAAAUCUUCAAAGUAAAUCUUUUGUUAACUCAAUUGGUUUCUACUUUGGUAUUGGAGGUCUUUGCAGCUUCACACCUGCUCCUCUUUGUUCAUUAGCUGGAUCUCAGUGUUAUGCUUGGUUCCACUCGGCGUGAUAAGUUAUCUAUCGCUGAGGACACUGUAAAAGGUGGCCAAGGUAAAUGCAGAUGAACCGCUUCUAAUAGUCCAUUGACUUGGACAAUACUUUUAUGAUCUGAUCUCAAAUCAGGUAGGACUACCCGCUGAACUUAAGC